rnacentral:miRNA from 1 species
UUGGCAGGGAGGUCCUCCACAC